CCCUACAAAUCCCAGGCCGGCCACCAGCGCUCCUCCACCUCAUCGCAGAGGAAUGUGCUGCUAUGCCACAAGUUGGUGUGAAGAAUGCAGAGUUUCCUACUACUUUAGAAGAUCCCAAAUGACACUGCUCACAUUACUGCCUGAGCGCUGCCUCCUGUCAGAUCAGCGGUGCCCUACUGAUUCUACAUUAUGGCACCAGGAAGCUGGAUCAUCCACUUGAUAAGAUCUUUCAUUCCUGUUAUUUCAUGACUGACAAAGCACCAGACACACAGCUGAUAUUGGAUGAAAG